rnacentral:tRNA from 1 species
GAGGGUAUAGCUCAGUGGUAGAGUGCAUGCUUAGCAUGCACAAGGUCCUGGGUUCAAUCCCCAGUCCCUCCA